CGGCAGGUGAUCGCGUCCCGGCCCCGCACGCAGGUGCCACCUGUCGCUUACUUUUUCCCUGACGCAGCAACAGGAGUCAGAUUCGGGGAAGUGAAAAGUUCUUACUGGAGCCCCGAUUUCUGGAUCUGGGGGAGGAGAGAACUGGGAACCUGGAUUCCUGGUUUUGAAGCAAAAGGGGCAGAAGCCCGCGAGGAGGGGGUUGAUGCCGGACUUCCAGUGUGCGGGAGGAGGGAUGCUAGGAACAAGGAUGAAAGGUGGUGGGGUGCUAUAUUGUGCCGGACAGGCAAAAAGGUCCAGAAGGGUCUGAAAUCCAGACUCCUGAGUCUGAGGGAGGAGGGGGCUGGAGAAUGGACUUUUGGGGUCAAAGGGAGAGUUGGCUGGUUCCCACCGGCAGAACUGAGGGCCCGAUCACCAGCAGAGCAUGCUUAGAGCUCUGACCUGGAGGCGCGAGGUGGCCCAGUGCUCCUGGGUUGGGUUACAGGCAAGAGGACACGAUGAGGCCAUGGCUAUAAAUACCUCCUUGGAGUCGGCAAGAGCCCAAUGCUCUAGGCAGGGGCCCUGCUGAUUUAUUACCCAGAAAAUCGUAUCACUAGCUCUCCGGAGUCUUGAAAAAAUGAGGUGCUGUCAAUACCACAGAGACCUUUAUUGCUCCUGUCGCUCAAAUCCCAAGCCCCUCUACCCACCAUCCCAUCCUCCGCCACCCGAAAACUCAAACUCCCAGCAUUCCGCGCGGGGAGAGAACUACAACUCCCGGAAAACUCUGCGCUCUGGCGGGCUCCAGUGAGCCGAAGCCCAAGAAUUUUCAAGGUUCGCGCGCUCGCUUGUAAUUGGCUUUCAGGGAGGCGUGGCCACGGGAGGUCCGUGACGGUGAUUGGCCGGCAGUUCCUGCUGCUCAAGAUCCCAGAGGAGGCGUCGGAGCCUGCGCAGUUCACGGUGCAGAGCGUCGUCGGUCACGGGACCCGUGAGGCGCAGGCGGGAGCUGCCCAGGGGCAGGAUGAGGGGAGGGUGAGAAGAGAAGUUUUCGAAGAUAUCCCCUGUGAGACCGAAGGAGACAGAAUGAAAUCCUGAAAAUGAGCGCGAGGCGGGAGGAGUGUCGGGGAGAAGCCGAGGCUGCAUCCUUCCCAAGGAGAAGAAAAACGUCAACCCCAAACACCUCCUGGCGAGAGCGCGUCGUGGAAAUCUGAUCUGUGAAGGCCACGGUUGCCUGGGAAACAGGUAUGUAGCUGGGUUCUCGCUUGUGUUAGGGAGAAAAUGGAAGGCAGCGGGAGGAACCUGGUCUCCUAGGUGAGAGAGAAAUGGACAUGUCCAAAGAGAUCCUUUCCUGCAGUGGAAGAGAUUCUCACCUGCCUCUGGAAAAAGGGACCUUUCUGGUCUGACAAUCUUCAAAAGGUCCGAUUUGGUUGUCAGCUGCCCCUGGGGCCAUGCUCAGUGCCUGCUGCCUGCGCUCCUGCUGCCGCCGCCUCCGACCCUGCAAGCUGAGCUCUGAGACGCUGCGCCGUAAGGACAAGUUUUCUGAGCGUUCCUUGCCCCCAGACCCACUUGGGGGCCCGGAUCCGGACCCUGGGCCAGGACUGGCUAGCGCAGCCCCGCCAGACGCAGCCCGGGAGCGGUUCUUUUGUGGCCGCCAAGAGGGGGCGCCCGUGCCUGCAGAGAGGGAAGGAGUUCCAUGAGUUUGCGACUGGAAAAGACCGGAGACAGACUUAGAAUUACAGAGUCAAAGACUUGGCUACAGAGAGAUGAGUGCUCCCCAAACACGGGCUCUGGCAUAUGCUGAUCCCACGCGUGGAACACACUUCCUGCCUGACUCCUACCCAUCUUGCCAACUUCGACUCAGAAAUAUAUUCUUUCAACCAGUAUUUUUUUUUUUUUGAGCACCUCCCACGUGCCAGGUAAUAUUUUAGGCACUGGACACUUCACAGAGAGCAGAGAAGACCUGUUCUUAGAGAAGCAGAAACCACGUCCUUCUGAAUACCCUUCCCUGACAUUCCAAGUUGAAUGACACCAUUGGGCACUCUGGACCCAGAACAGCCCUGGCACAUAGUAGGUGCCUUGUGGAAAUGAGAUGGAUGAAUGAUGUUUCUUGCUAGACUGUAAAAUCUAGGAGAAAAGGAGCCUCACCUGUUAAUGUCCCCACUGUAUUCCCCAAGGAUCCUAAAUAAUGUGUGGCCCUGGGUCGGUGCCCACUGAAUGCACUUGGGGGAGGAAGGGCAAUGAUGGCUAGAAUGGCCAUUCUUCAUUAAGCACCUACUUUCUGCCACGCCUUGUGCUAUAAUCUUUUAUAUCCAUGGGAGUGCCUAUGCCAGCAGAGAGAAGGGGACACCCAGUCAUGCACAAUGGGCUCCUCCUGCUUGGGGAGGCUGAGCUGCACUUAGCUUCCCCUAGGAUUUUGCUGCGUUUAACUGGCUCAGAAUGGAUCAGAAUCCAAGCCUGAGUUCAAAACCCACGAGUUUAACUGUUACAUCACUCUGUCUCCCCAAGGAUGACUCAGAAUCAGGAAAGCAGCUGGAGGCGCCCCCUACCAGGCUUGCUCUGCACUUGCCCUUUCAUCAGGGAAACCACCUUCCGUUCCAGGCCAGAUCUCAAAAACCAGGCCUCCUGCAGCUUCUACAGAUACCUCUUCCUUUCCCAUGCGCUACCCUCAAGCUCCCACAAACAUUUCAUGGCCAACCCAGCCUAAGGCCAGCUGUUCUUUUUUUUUUUUUUUUAAGAUUUAUUUAUUUAUUUAUGCAAGCACUGGGUACAGUCAGAAGUGCGGGAGGGUGAGAGAAUUCACCCGAGCCAGAGCAGGGAGCAGAACCACCUGUUCAUUCUUCGGUUCUGGUCUAGCUUUGUUCCCGAGGUCUCUCACUUCUAAGCGCCAUUCACACUAGGCUCUGCCACUCAUGAGCCGCUUCUCCUUGCUGCCCCGCGACCCCCUGUCACCAUCCAACACCCCUGGCUCCGGGCUUCUCCAUUCCUCAGGCGAGGCCCCAGCCUCCCAGGCCCCACCCGGCGGGUCCCUCGGGCCCGGCCU